UCCUUGAUUCAUAACCACAUUCUAUGACUGAAAGAAUAAUUUAAUAGUCAUUUUGAGACUGCUCUUAGGGAUUAUACAUCCAAACUGGAAGGGAAGUAAGAAGUAAUUUUGUUGAGCUUUCUCUUUUUACACAUGAAGUCAUCAAGAUUCAUGGAGAUUAAGGAGUUUAUCCAAUACCAUGAAUAUAGUUGGUAAAUAAAGGAUGUGUGCUCUAAAUCUAGGUCCUCUGAUUCUAGAUCUAAUGUUUCUUCUAUGCCAUACUUCCUCCUCCUACUCGAUUUCACCCUACCUUUGCAGAGAAGUGCUUUGAUUUGUGUUAUGGGAGUCUGCUUCUUUGGAACAUUCUUACUUGAUGGAGUGCUUGAGCAUGCAAACCGAUGUCAGAGGCUUAAGCCACAGUGGUCACCAACUUUCUUCAAUAUCCUGCAAAGGAAGAGAAUAAGUCAACCUCAAAAUAACUUAAGCAAAGCUGAGUGAAAAUGAACUUCUGCUAAACUUCUGUAUGUUCCUGAUUGUUCCAGUAUGUUCCUGAAUAUUAAAGAACAGGACUACAAUCAAGAAUGACAACAGACAAAAAGUGGCAUGCAGAACAGAUGAAAAAAAAGAGAUCAAGACAGUUGUCUACAAUUAAUAUUAAAAGACAGGACUAUGAAAUUUUGGACUUGUGAUCAUGAGGUUAUGUAAGAAUAGAGCAUGCAUGUUUACAUCACAUAAAUAUAUACACAUGUUACACAGAAAUACAAUGUAGGAAGAAAUCUCAUGGAAUGAGUAAUUAUACAACACAUGCAUAAUUGCAAAACACAAAAUUCACAUUGACAUAUGAAUUUCUGUGGAAAAUUCAAACAGAAAUUUCUUAUCUGCAUGAGUUUGCACAGAAAAAAGAAAAAGGUAUUAUAUUUAUACAUAUGUAAAUUUGUAUAGAUACAACUUAUGUACAUAUGUGAAUAUUAAUGUACUAGCAAACUAACUAUAUUAGAAUAAUUUAUUAAUGUUCUAAUAACUAAACUAUAGGGACAGUUUAGAAAAUUUGUUCAAAGUCUUAGGGAAGUAGGGACAGACAAAAACUACUUAAGUAUAGAAGUUAGAUUACAUUAUAAUUUUUGGUUAGCAAUUGUUAGUAAUAGAAAAUUUUACUUAGUUGAAUUUAUAGACAUUAGGAGAUAAGAUAAUUACAUAUUCAAAACUGUUAGAAUUGUUUUAAAUUGUUACAUGAUUUGUUAUGUUCAAAAACCAUGUUCAUGUAAAAUUCCUAUUACCCAAGCCAUUUUCCUAUACCCAAACUUAGCAUAGAAUUAGGUAGACAGAAUAGCUAAAAUAGAUUAGAAUGUGUUGUUUUGGGAGGGUAAAGAAAUAUUUAAUACAGUACAGGGAUAAGAAUUAGAGAGUUAACAAUAUACCAAAAUAUAUAUCUAAAAGGUAAGUAUCAUUAAAAAUGCUGGUUGCAUUUUUUCAAAAUGAAAAGGGAGGAUUUGUGGAAGAGAGAAAUUAGGAAGCAUGCAAAGAGGGAGAAGCAGUGGCUGAGUGGUGACCUGUCAGUCAAAUAAGAGGAUUCUAUUUGGAAUGUUCCCAGGAAAAGCAGUUGGAAGGAAAGGAACAGACCAACUGAAGGGUUAUAUCUUUUAACCUUAGAGACAGAAAGGAGUGGUGGUGCUGGUGACUUUGAAGGCAGAAGAAAGAGGGACAGAAGUCUAGAUAUCUCUCUGACUUGCUCUGUUGAUGAUAGUGACUGAACUUCCAGACCUAUUAACCAUUUCCCUCAAUUGAACCAUAUUCCAACAUCCUUCAACCUGACUCAUUUUAAUAUUAGGGAAAUCCUCAACCCUCUUACCUCCAUUCUUUAUCCCAUCCUGUCUUCCCCAAAUAACCCCCUAACUUAAGAUAAAGAAGAGAAAGAGUAUUUCAUGUGAAACAUCAUAAACUCACCCCUGAGUUGAUUUAGAAGAAGAGAGAAGAAAAAGGAAAGGGAGAGGGGAGGAAAAGGGAGGCUGAAGAGAGGGUGGAAAUGGGAGGAAGGGAGGAAAAGAGGGAGGACAGUUGACAGAAGAAAUAGGAUAACUGCCUGAUCUGUUAGUUAUCAAUUACCAAUCAAUAUAGUCCCUUCUUAUUAUUUAUUACACAUUAAAAUAUUAAGAAACAGAAUUAUUUAUAAUUACAGAAAUUUCCAAAAAGAAAGUCUUACAGAAUGACCUUGUGUCAAACCCUAUGUCUUAAAAGCUUAAUAAAUUUUUCAGAGAUUCAGUGGCUUGGGAAUCUACCUGAUUAAUACCUUUGAAUUAAAAUAAAGAAUAGUCCUGGGAAAAUGCACUAAUCUUCAAAAUAUGCUUGAUCUCCAUUACAAAAAAGUGUAGUUCUAUGCUGAAGAAUUUUUUAAAAUCCUUGCCAAAAUCUUAUGACCCCAAUGCCAAAUUAUAGAAAGCAAGUCAUUAUAGGAUGUAGGUGGCACAGUGGAUAGAAUGCUAAAACUAAAGUUAGGGAGACCUAAGUUCAAAUCUAGCUCCAUACAUUCAAUAAAUCUAUAACCCUAAGUAAGUCCCCUUAAACUCUGCUUGCCUUGGUUUCUUCAUCUAUAAAAUGGGGGAAAUAAUAGUAUCUAGAUACCAAGGAUUUUAUGAAGAUAAAUGAGAUAAUAUUUAUAAAGGGAUUAGCACAGUUUCUGGCACAUAGUUAAACUCUAUAUAAAUGUUAAGUAUUAUUAAUAUUUCCAUGUCAAAGUUUUUUAGGCUAUGAGGUUUACUGUAGGUUAAUCAUUGUAUUAUUUUGCAUUAUAUUGCCCCCAAAAGUCCUAAUUUGCAUUUUCCUGAGCACAGUAUUAUCACAUACAUAGAAUUUAUAGCUAGAAAAGAUCUUCAAAGUAAUUCAGUUGAUUUCCUCCUCAUUUAAUAUAUAUCAUUUAUGAUACUAAGUAGAAAUCAGAAAAAAAUUUAACACAGGUUUUCUGUCAAUAUAAUCAGUUUUUCUUUUAUAAAAGUGACAUUGAUCAAAAUUCAUGGAUGGGGUAGAUCUUGAAUUGGACCUUGAAGUGAAGGAAAAGUCAAGCUGGGUUUAACAAUAUGGGACUUCAUUUAAAAACCAAAGAUAAUGUAGACAAAGAUAUUUUGGAGGUAAGUGUGGACAGGAAAGGAAGAUGGUUUAGAAUAGUGAUGGCAAACCUUUUAUUUUCUUUGCCGUGUCUUUCAUCUAUCUCCUUUGUCUCAUUUUCAAGCUGGUUGGUUUUGGCUUUCAAGAUACUAUUUUCUUGUUUUAGUUCAAGUGCCUCUGUUUCCAGAUGACUUAUCUUAGUUUUUAAGUUCUUUUCCCAGUUGUCUUCAGCCUCUCUUAUUUAUGUUUUUAAUUGUAUUUUGAGUUCUCCCAGAGUCUGUAUCCAAGUUGCUGGGGUUUCUGUUUUUUUGCUUGGUGUUCCCUCAUCCUUCUCUGUUCCAUUUGCUCUUUGUUCAUUGCCUGCAUAGAAGCUGUCAAUUGUAAUUUCUUUUUCUGUUGUUUGCUCCUAUUUACCCCCAUCUUUACUCCCUGCAGUUGCCUGAGCUCUUGCUUCUCUCAUUUUUUUGUGGUUUUGGGUUUUUCUUUCCACCUUCACCCUUGGAGUUUUGUCAGUAAAUCUCUCAGUGCAGUCUGUGGGGGAGGGAUAUUGGAGCUUGAGUUUCCCUGCCCUCUGAAGGCUUUGAUGAAGGCUUUGAAGUCCAACUGGGUUGCUGGGUGUGUCCUGAGGCCAAAACCUCUGGAAGGGAGGCAAUAUGGAGUGUCUCCACUUUUGUAAUUGCUGCCCUCUCUGCACUCUGUGUUUCUUCUCUAUAUGUUUCCCCAAUGCCUGUGUUGUAUGUACUGAGCCUGGUCCAGCUUUGCCUGCAAGGUACUCCCUCCAGACCAGAGGUUCCAGGUGCCACUGGAGGUUUAGCUCUCUAGUUGGGGGAGGGGACCCCAGAACUUCCUUCUUCCUUCUCCUUAAACCAGAAUGUUCUCGAAUUCAGAAUUUUUGGGAGUGUGCCUUUUAAGUUGAGUCCUGCAGGAGGGUUCCUUGGCUCUGUCUUGUUGUUAAGUUUGAUUUUUAGUCCCCUAGGAGCAUUUAGUUUGUAAUCAGUAAGGUAGGGUUUUCAGAGGUCUGAAUGUUUGCUGCCUCUACACUGCCGUCUUGACUGUGCCUGCCAAUGGCAAACCUUUUAGAGACUGAGUGCCCAAACUGCAACUUUCAUCCUGCAUGUUAUCCCCAUUACUUACCCCAAACAGGGAAGUGAGGAAGUACUCCCAUUAGGUUGCUUGGCAGAAGGGUAAUUGAUGGAAGAAAUGUCCUCAGGUUUGCUUGGAGAGGGGGAAGGGAGCACCCCUCUCCAUUAGGCUCGAGCAUGCAUGCCAUAGGUUCACUAACAUGGUUUAGCAUAUCCUAGCAUGGUUAGAACACAGAGUACAUGAGGAAGAGUAUAAGAAAAGGCUAGAAAGCUAUAUCAGAGGCAGAUCAUAUUGGAUACAGAAUUCUAGGAUGAUUUUGAAUCAUGGAAUUAUGACUUUGAUUUUUUGAAUGAAGGAAUGAUAUGAUUAUUUAUCAAUGACUAUUUCCAUUCACAUAUCUCUAUGGUAGAAUUAACUUUUUCUAUUCUAUUUAAACUGAGGUGGAAUGAUUGUGAAUAAAGUGGUAAGGUGGGGUGUGCUGGAGCUAGCUUUACUUGGCUUGUGAGAGCCAAUUAUUACAUUUUUAGUGUAAGUAUUUAUAUCUAAGAAAUGAGCAAAUCCUGUGAAUCAAAAUUAUAUUAUUGCUUAUUGUUUUGUCGAUUUUCCAGACUUAUCAAAGUGUUGAGGAAAUAUUAGUAAUAUAGAUAAUAAAGUGUUUGGGGAAUACAUAUAUUAUUUUCCCCAAAGAGUCCAGUGUAACAUUUUACAGCUUAUCUUGCCUUGUGAUGAUGCCAUAUCAUGAAAUAAUCUCAGGAGAGUAAUUUCAUUUUUGUUUCAUUGGAAAAAGAGGUAAACUAAGAAUUUUAAAAUGUUUUGUACAUUUAAAAAUUUUGAUAGCUUUAAUUUUUUCUAGAUUGAUUAAACUCUUUCAAAAAAUUUCUCUAAUAUCCAUAGGUAGCAAUCUAAACCAUAGUUCUUCGUAUUUAAAGGAAGAAAAUAUUUACUCCAUUGUAGUCAGAUCAUGAAUACUAAAUAAAUUCUAAAAUCUGAAAAUUUUAAAUAAAAUUAGCAAUUUUCCUCACUAUUAAAAAUUAUUUCAAAACACAAAGUUGAUGUGAUAUUCAUUUAAAACAGAAGAUGGUAUUUGUUUUGAAAGCAAAAAGCCUCACAAUGAUUGUUCCCUUAAAACUGGAAAAAUGGAAUGACAAUUUGAUUUCUUUGUCAAACAUCUGGCAAUUCUAUACCUUUGUCUUUAUAUCUCUUGUUUAAAUCAGUUGUUUUUUCCUCUGUGGUAGAAAACAUAAAAUAUUUUGCAAUUACCAGACAUGUUUCCCAAAUUAGUUUAAGUUUCCGUAUGCUAAAAUACCUGGGAAUAUUUCUUACUAUAGGCAUUGACAGUGCUUUGCCCAUCUCCUCUUCCCAGCAGGAGCACAGGAGAUCUACGUGUAUAUCCGGAUGCAGGCAGGGAAUAUAUAUUCACUUAGUUUCCCAUGCUCUGUGUCACCUAUUGUUUGAAAAACAAUUAGCUGGCAGGGUAUGAACCUCUGGAAUGGAGCAGACAACUGUCUGAGCACCUGCUAACAUUAGAUGUGAGAAAAUUGCUGAGUAUUUUGUAGAACAAGCUAUUCAUCCUUUCUCAAACUUUAUCUCCUUCAGUGACUGGCACAGGUAGGGGAUUUUUCUUCUCUUAUCUUAUGAAAGACAAAUAUGGUUUUCUACUGAUCCAAAAACAUUCUGCUCCCAAAUAAAUCUUCUUAGAUUACUGUUAGGAAUUAGAAAUCAAACACUCUCACCUCAUGGUACUGAGCAGAUACUGUGGUUUUGCAUCACAGCAUGUAUUUCCCUCAUCAGAAAUCUGUGUAAAGAGUUACUUCUGAAAGGAGUAUUGGGAAAGAGGCAGUAUAAGCUUUGCUUGGGAAGUUAAGUAGCAACCAUUGCUAGACUCACAAGAACUCUGGAGGCAGCCAGGAAAUAAUCUUGGGAAAGUCAUUUCAUUUAUGUUUCCAUGGGAAAAGAGGUGACAAUGCUUCUUGUCUUCCAAAAAAAGACUUAUGAGCAUCAACUACAAAAAAGUUUAUAGAUAUAAUCCACUUGAAAAAAACUAGCAUCCUAGAUCCAAACU